UGGGAUUUGAACAAGGCUUCUGAAAAAUAAGAGCUAAAUCACCAGAAAGACUCACCAUUCCUCAACUAUUUUGGUGCAGGAGCACUUGUUUACAAUAACUGAUUAUCUCUGCCACGUCAUCUCCCUGAGGCCAAGAAGAUCAAAUGAGUUUAAAUCAAAUGUCUCAAGCUAGGUUGGCUGGCAACUAUCCAUGAAGCAAAUUACUGGAGAAAGUUUCAUCUAAGAACUCAGAAGAAACACGAUUAUUUUUCCUCCUCUACAUUAGUUUGUAUUAAGCCUCUGUCGUUCAUUCACCACAUAAUGUGUAAUGACAUUGGACUGAUCCCAUGGUGCUUUCCUCCAUCACUUGAUGUGUGUAUAAGAACCCUUAGGCUUCAAGCAGGAGGGAAAAGAAUAUCCUUAGAAGAAGAGAGACAGAGUGAGAGGCGGAGGGGCAGAGAGAGGAGUCACAGAAUCCGAAGCAGGCUCCAGGCUCCGAGCUGUCAGCACAGAACCCGACAUGGGGCUUGAACUCACGGAGUAUAAGAUCAUGACCUGAGCUGAAGUCGGACACCUAACCAACUGAGCCACCCAGGCACCCCCAUACAUUUAACUUUAGUAGUAGAUGUUUCUUUUAAAAGAAAUAAAUUAUUCUGUUUUGGUUGGGUGCCUAAAAUGAGAUCAUUCUUUUCUACCCUAAAGGGUGUAUAUCAUGAACUAGUGUGGAACAGUGAACAUUCUAUGUUUUUGGAGCAAAAGAAGGUAAUUCACAGAGAUUUUUUUAAAAGGUCUUUUUUAAGGUUUUUAGAGAACUUGUUAAAAAACACCCACAACCAUAUUUCAAGUCAUAUUCCCUCUCCUGUCUCUUCUCCCCACAAAAUGCUCACAGACUGCCAAUUUAAAGAAAAAACAUAGUCAAGCCAGAUAAAAAGCAUCCAAAUGAAGAGAAGGUUAAUCGUGGAAGGAGAUGGAGGUGGUCUGGACAAUCUGUUGAUUUCUUCGCAAUAACCGUAUUUAGCCAUCUCUUCCCCAGCCCCCCUGAGGAUGAAAGGUGGCGUUCAUUAGCCCCCAGACUCUAGGUUAUAACAGUGUUCAUCCCCAGUCAUGUAUCUUGCACCUUCAUCAUCAACCUUCUGACCUAAGAGUCUUGGGAGGGGAGCCUGGGAAGGACGCCUUGGGAACUCAAGUUAAGAAAAUAAACAGGAAUGUGAAUAAGAGUGUGAACACUUAGAAAUGGUAAGCAGUAAGCUAGGUCUUUUGUCUUUUCAUCUAACCCAAAUAAAACCAGGUAAGGAUAUGACCGCCAAAGGCAUUUUCAGCCUCAUUUUUGGCUCCUG